rnacentral:rRNA from 1 species
AUGAAGCUGAAGCAGCUGGAGGGCCUGCUGGGGGGCCUGACCCAGUUCUCCGACCCCAAGGUGGAGCUGGAGCAGUACGCGACGGGCCCCCACAUCGCGUCGAGGAUGCUCUACACGGCCGAGAACAGCUUCGACGACAUAGCUGGUAAAGUGGUGGCGGAUUUUGGGUGCGGCUGUGGUACCCUGGCCGUCGCGAGUGCUCUGCUGGAUGCUGAGCAUGUCACUGGUAUUGAUAUUGACCUCCAGUCCCUUGAACUUGCUCAAGAAAAUGCUACUGAUCUAGAGCUGGAUAUCGACUUAAUUCAGUGUGACAUAAAGAACUUAAAUUUAAAAGGCCUUCUUGUUGAUACUGUUGUCAUGAAUCCUCCCUUUGGGACAAAAAGAAAAGGAGCCGACAUGGAAUUCCUUUCUAUGGGCUUGAAGGUUGCAUCUCAAGCUGUCUAUUCUCUACACAAGACUUCCACACGAGAAUACAUCAAGAAGGCAGCCCUGCGUAAUUGCAACGCAGUCAGUGCUGAAGUUCUGUGUGAGCUGCGCUAUGAUCUACCUCGGACCUACAGGUUCCACAAGCAAAAGGAGCUCGAUAUUGCAGUCGAUCUGUGGCGCUUCGUCCCACAAGCUCGAGACGAAAGGGCAAGCUAG